GAUGAACGCUGGCGGCGUGCCUAAUACAUGCAAGUCGAGCGAACGGACGAGAAGCUUGCUUCUCUGAUGUUAGCGGCGGACGGGUGAGUAACACGUGGAUAACCUACCUAUAAGACUGGGAUAACUUCGGGAAACCGGCGCUAAUACCGGAUAAUAUUUUGAACCGCAUGGUUCAAAAGUGAAAGACGGUCUUGCUGUCACUUAUAGAUGGAUCCGCGCUGCAUUAGCUAGUUGGUAAGGUAACGGCUUACCAAGGCAACGAUGCAUAGCCGACCUGAGAGGGUGAUCGGCCACACUGGAACUGAGACACGGUCCAGACUCCUACGGGAGGCAGCAGUAGGGAAUCUUCCGCAAUGGGCGAAAGCCUGACGGAGCAACGCCGCGUGAGUGAUGAAGGUCUUCGGAUCGUAAAACUCUGUUAUUAGGGAAGAACAUAUGUGUAAGUAACUGUGCACAUCUUGACGGUACCUAAUCAGAAAGCCACGGCUAACUACGU
rnacentral:rRNA from 1 species